UACGGAGGGUGCGAGCGUUAUCCGGAAUUACUGGGUUUAAAGGGUGCGUAGGCGGCUUGGUAAGUCAGGAGUGAAAGUUUGCGGCUCAACCGUAAAAUUGCUUUUGAUACUGCCAGGCUAGAAUCAGGAUGAGGUCAGCGGAAUGUGGCAUGUAGCGGUGAAAUGCAUAGAUAUGCCAUAGAACACCUAUUGCGAAGGCAGCUGGCUAGUCCUGUAUUGACGCUGAGGCACGAAAGCGUGGGGAGCGAACAGG
rnacentral:rRNA from 1 species